rnacentral:rRNA from 1 species
CGGGUGAGUAACGCGUAGGGAACCUGGCCCUUACAGGGGGAUAACAGAUGGAAACAACUGCUAAUACCGCAUAAGCGCCCAGCCUCGCAUGAGGCAGAGUGAAAAACUAAGGUGGUAAGGGAUGGCCCUGCGUCCGAUUAGCUAGUUGGUAUGGUAACGGCAUACCAAGGCGACGAUCGGUAGCCGGCCUGAGAGGGUGGACGGCCACAUUGGGACUGAGACACGGCCCAAACUCCUACGGGAGGCAGCAGUGGGGGAUAUUGCACAAUGGGGGAAACCCUGAUGCAGCGACACCGCGUGGGUGAAGAAGCGCUUCGGCGUGUAAAGCCCUAUCAGUGGGGAAGAAAAAGGACGGUACCCAAAGAAGAAGCACCGGCUAAAUACGUGCCAGCAGCCGCGGUAAUACGUAUGGUGCAAGCGUUAUCCGGAAUGACUGGGUGUAAAGGGAGCGUAGACGGUUGUACAAGUCUGAUGUGAAAGCCCACGGCUCAACUGUGGGAGUGCAUUGGAAACUGUAGAACUAGAGUAUCGGAGAGGCAAGUGGAAUUCCUAGUGUAGCGGUGAAAUGCGUAGAUAUUAGGAGGAACACCAGUGGCGAAGGCGGCUUGCUGGACGAAAACUGACGUUGAGGCUCGAAAGCGUGGGGAGCAAACAGGAUUAGAUACCCUGGUAGUCCACGCUGUAAACGAUGAAUACUAGGUGUUGGGGCCCGAAGGGCGUCGGUGCCGUCGCAAACGCAGUAAGUAUUCCACCUGGGGAGUACGUUCG